AGUGAACGCUGGCGGCGUGCUUAACACAUGCAAGUCGAACGAGAACGGAUUAUAGCUUGCUAUAAUUGUCAGCUAAGUGGCGCACGGGUGAGUAAUGUAUAGGUAAUAUGCCUCUUACUAAGGGAUAACAAUUGGAAACGAUUGCUAAUACCUUAUAUUCCUUUUUAUCAAAAGAUAAAAAGGGAAAGAUUUAUUGGUAAGAGAUUAGCCUGUAUUGUAUCAGUUAGUUGGUGGGGUAAUGGCCUACCAAGACAAUGACGCAUAACUGGUUUGAGAGGAUGAUCAGUCACACUGGAACUGAGACACGGUCCAGACUCCUACGGGAGGCAGCAGUGGGGAAUAUUGCACAAUGGACGAAAGUCUGAUGCAGCAACGCCGCGUGGAGGAUGACACAUUUCGGUGCGUAAACUCCUUUUAUAUAAGAAGAUAAUGACGGUAUUAUAUGAAUAAGCACCGGCUAACUCCGUGCCAGCCGCCGCGGUAA
rnacentral:rRNA from 1 species